rnacentral:rRNA from 1 species
GACGAACGCUGGCGGUGUGCUUAACACAUGCAAGUGGAGCGACGAACCAGAGCUUGCUCUGGGGCAGAGCCGCGAACGGGUGAGUAACACGUGGGUAACCUACCCUGAUGACUGGGACAACCCGAGGAAACUCGGGCUAAUACCGGAUGUGCUCUCCUCUCACGAGAGAGGCGAGUAAAGGAAGCUUCGGCCUCCGCAUCAGGAGGGGCCCGCGGCCCAUUAGUUUGUUGGUGGGGUAACGGCCUACCGAGACUGCGAUGGGUAGCUGGUCUGAGAGGACGAUCAGCCACACUGGGACUGAGACACGGCCCAGACUCCUACGGGAGGCAGCAGUGGGGAAUCUUGCGCAAUGCGCGACAGCGUGACGCAGCAACACCGCGUGGGGGAAGAAGGCCUUCGGGUUGUAAACCCCUUUCAGGAGGGACGAAGGCCGGCCGGUGAAUAGCCGUGCCGAUUGACGGUACCUCCACAAGAAGCCCCGGCUAACUACGUGCCAGCCGCCGCGGUAA